GGUGAACGCUGGCGGCGUGCCUAACACAUGCAAGUCGAGCGAACCUUUCGGGGUGAGCGGCGGACGGGUGAGUAACGCGUGGGUAACGUGCCCUAUACACACGGAUAACGUACCGAAAGGUACGCUAAUACGGGAUAAAGUUGUUGGAUGGCAUCUUCUAACAAUCAAAGCUCCGGCGGUAUAGGAUGGACCCGCGUCUGAUUAGCUAGUUGGUGAGGUAAUGGCUCACCAAGGCGACGAUCAGUAGCCGACCUGAGAGGGUGAUCGGCCACACUGGAACUGAGACACGGUCCAGACUCCUACGGGAGGCAGCAGUGGGGAAUAUUGCACAAUGGGCGAAAGCCUGAUGCAGCAACGCCGCGUGAGCGAUGAAGGUCUUCGGAUCGUAAAGCUCUGUCCUCAAGGAAGAUAAUGACGGUACUUGAGGAGGAAGCCCCGGCUAACUACGUGCCAGCAGCCGCGGUAA
rnacentral:rRNA from 1 species